rnacentral:rRNA from 1 species
UACGUAGGUGGCAAGCGUUGUCCGGAUUUACUGGGCGUAAAGAGCGCGCAGGCGGUCGUACAAGUCGCGUGUGAAAGCCCCCGGCUCAACUGGGGAGGGUCACGCGAUACUGUUCGACUCGAAGGCAGGAGAGGGAAGCGGAAUUCCCGGUGUAGUGGUGAAAUGCGUAGAUAUCGGGAGGAACACCAGUGGCGAAGGCGGCUUCCUGGCCUGUUCUUGACGCUGAGGCGCGAAAGCUAGGGGAGCGAACGAG